rnacentral:rRNA from 1 species
CCUAACACAUGCAAGUCGAACGGUAACAGGAAGAAGCUUGCUUCUUUGCUGACGAGUGGCGGACGGGUGAGUAAUGUCUGGGAAACUGCCUGAUGGAGGGGGAUAACUACUGGAAACGGUAGCUAAUACCGCAUAACGUCGCAAGACCAAAGAGGGGGACCUUCGGGCCUCUUGCCAUCGGAUGUGCCCAGAUGGGAUUAGCUUGUUGGUGGGGUAACGGCUCACCAAGGCGACGAUCCCUAGCUGGUCUGAGAGGAUGACCAGCCACACUGGAACUGAGACACGGUCCAGACUCCUACGGGAGGCAGCAGUGGGGAAUAUUGCACAAUGGGCGCGAGCCUGAUGCAGCCAUGCCGCGUGUAUGAAGAAGGCCUUCGGGUUGUAAAGACUUUCAGCGGGGAGGAAGGGAGUAAAGUUAAUACCUUUGCUCAUUGACGUUACCCGCAGAAGAAGCACCGGCUAACUCCGUGCCAGCAGCCGCGGUAAUACGGAGGGUGCAAGCGUUAAUCGGAAUUACUGGGCGUAAAGCGCACGCGGGCGGUUUGUUAAGUCAGAUGUGAAAUCCCCGGGCUCAACCUGGGAACUGCAUCUGAUACUGGCAAGCUUGAGUCUCGUAGAGGGGG